CAGCAGCCGCGGUAAUACGGAGAGGGCAAGCGUUGUUCGGAUUUACUGGGCAUAAAGCGCACGUAGGCGGACCCACAAGUCGGAUGUGAAAUCCCCGGGCUCAACCCGGGAACUGCGUCCGAUACUGGCAGGCUUGAAUCCGGGAGAGGGAUGCGGAAUUCCAGGUGUAGCGGUGAAAUGCGUAGAUAUCUGGAGGAACACCGGUGGCGAAGGCGGCAUCCUGGACCGGCAUUGACGCUGAGGCGCGAAAGCCAGGGGAGCAAACGGGAUUAGAUACCCCGGGAGUCCAGGCCCUAAACGAAGAA
rnacentral:rRNA from 1 species